ACUGAGCGUCCGCAGCGCCUUGACUUGUGAUCACUUCGGAAGGUUCCCUGGUUAUGACCAUCACCCCCCGUCAGUAUCCGCGGCAAGUACUCUGCGUCCAUUAAUUGAUAUCAGAGGUGAUUUUUAAUGACUAAAGGAACCGUAAAGUGGUUUAACGAUGCCAAGGGGUUUGGUUUUAUUACCCCGGACGACGGCGGCAAAGAUGUGUUCGUGCAUCAUUCCGCUGUUCAGGGUACCGGUUUUAAAUCGCUAGCCGAAGGACAGAAGGUGACGUUUACGCUCGAGCAAGGCGCCAAGGGCCCAUCGGCUGCCAACGUUACGCCAGCCUAAUCGGAAAGAACAGAAGUGAUAAAAAAUCCCGCCACUGGCGGGAUUUUUUUU
rnacentral:other from 1 species